GCAGCCACCUUUUAAAACGCGUCAAAGCGUAACCUUAGCCCCCAAAAUACCAUUAAUUUUCAUGAACCCCUGAUCUAUAAUGAAUGACUCCAUAUUUAUAUGGAAGACACCAUGCUAGGAUUAGUAACAAGAAUUUAUAAUUCUCCAAAAUGCAAAUAUAAACCAACAUGGAUGGACCAUUGGUAGUUACCGAACCUAAAUUCAAUGCAACAACACCUACAAGAAAACUCUGCAGUACUUACUCGUUAACCUAACACCAGCGCAUUACAGGAAAGAUUUAAAAAAAGAGAAGGAAUUCGGCAAAUGACGGCCCCGCCUGUUUACCAAAAACAUCGCCUCUUGACUUAUAAUAAGAGGUCCAGCCUGCCCAGUGAAUUUUAAACGGCCGCGGUAUCCUAACCGCGCGAAGGUAGCAUAAUCACUUGUUCUUUAAAUGGGGACUCGUAUCAACGGCAUCACGAGGGUUUUACUGUCUCCUCUUUUUGAUCAGUGAAAUUGAUCUUCCCGUGAAGAAGCGGGAAUAAAUUUAUAAGACGAGAAGACCCCAUGGAGCUUUAAACCAAAUAACAACUUAACCACUUAUCCCAUAAUAAAUUUAAGCCCUGUUAUAAGGUUUUUGGUUGGGGUGACCGCGGAGUAAAACACAUCCUCCACGACGAAAAAAACAGAAUUUUUAUUUAAGAACCACACUUCUAGAAAUUAGUAUACUAACGUUUACUGACCCGACAAUCGAUCAACGGACCAAGUUACCCUGGGGAUAACAGCGCAAUCUACUUCAAGAGCUCAUAUCGACAAGUAGGCUUACGACCUCGAUGUUGGAUCAGGGUAUCCCGGUGGUGCAGCCGCUACCGAAGGUUCGUUUGUUCAACGAUUAAAACCCUACGUGAUCU
rnacentral:rRNA from 1 species